CGUGGCCUUUGUCUCCAAGUAGAAAUCAAUGAGAAUUCCCAGAAAGACCUUGUUGUCUCAGGAAGAUCUCUUGCCUCUUCGGCCUGCCAAUGCAAUUACUAUGCUAACCAAACCCACAUACAUUGCGACUCUGACACCUUCCAUCUCGGGAUAAAAGAUGGAGGGAGCUAUGGGGUGUGUUUGGUUCACGGAAUUGGCCAGGAUGGGAUGGGACUAUGUCUUAAGUAUGUUGUUUGGUUUGCCAUUUUGAGUUUAGGACAACUUAACCUAAACAGUAAUUUUAUCCUGAUCGAUUGGGACUCAUGUGACCCGUCUCCCCCCCGGGUCAUUUUUGUCCCAAACUCGCCGAAGCAGCUCUAUACUCUCUCGCUAGUGUCUCUCGCCGAAGCAGAGCUCCUCACCGGAUCGCGUCUCUCUCUCGCCGGAUGUCUGCAUCUCUCCGAGCAACAAACACGGCCAGUGAGUAUUCACCUAAUAUAAAGAAGAUAAAGGUGCUGGACAAAAAGAAAGUGAGAAGAGCCAAGCUUUACUAUCUCAGGGACAAGAUGAAUGCACUUAAGAAGCAAUAGCAGCUUACUUAGACUGCAGGAUCAAAAAGAGCCUUCCAUGUUAAAGAAGAUGGUGGAAUGCUUUGCUUUUUGUCACAAAGUUCGCCACUGUCCUAGUAAUUUUUUUUUCUUUUUUUUUUUUUUCAUUUCGAUUUUUAUAUAAAUUAUUAUCCAUAGAGAAACCAUGGAAAAUUGUCAACCUUACUCUUUGUGGUGUUCAUGUAACAAGUAAAAUUCUUCUUUAUCCA